rnacentral:misc_RNA from 1 species
AAAGUUGUUUACACCUGAGGUAAUGUGGACAUGACUCUAUAAGAACUUGUAAGUCUGUCAUCUAGUUAUAUUGCAGUUUUGCAUGGUCCUGUUUCAAUCUUUUAGUGCAAUCAAUGUUAGACUCCUUUAUUGGGUUAAUAAAUCUCCUAUCCCCUCUUCUUCCUAAAAGAAAAUUAGAGGUGAAAAAUCAAAACAUGUGGUGGUAUGUGAACCCAAUUAGUAUGCUAUCCUGCCCCAACUUUCAUAAAAAAUUGUUUCCUUUGUCGUAAUGUAUCACAGUAGGGAACAGUGCACAAACAAAUUGAAGACAUGGUAUGCAGACUGGAUGUUUAAAUCAAUUCUAUUGAGAAAUAUUUUAUUAUUUUUUAGGACCUAAUGAUGCAUCAUAUUAUAAUUGAUAUGUGCUUUCUGCAUUAUUUAAUAGAGUGAUGUUCUAGUACCUCCUAUCUUUAAUAUUUAUAGCAAAUACUAUGGAAUGUGGUGCUUUAGGUUGCUACAGCAUGUGCACUUGCA